CCGACGGUGAGAGGCGAAAGCUGGGGGAGCAAACCGGAUUAGAUACCCGGGUAGUCCCAGCUGUAAACGAUGCGCGUUAGGUGUAUCAGUGACCACGAGUCACUGAGGUGCCGAAGAGAAAUCGUGAAACGUGCCGCCUGGGAAGUACGGUCGCAAGGCUGAAACUUAAAGGAAUUGGCGGGGGAGCACCACAACAGGUGGAGCCUGCGGUUUAAUCGGACUCAACGCCGGAAAUCUCACCAGAUAAGACAGCUGAAUGAUAGUCGGGCUGAAGACUCUACUUGACUAGCUGAGAGGAGGUGCAUGGCCGUCGUCAGUUCGUACUGUGAAGCAUCCUGUUAAGUCAGGCAACGAGCGAGACCCACGCCAACAGUUGCU
rnacentral:rRNA from 1 species